GGCUCAGAUUGAACGCUGGCGGCAUGCCUUACACAUGCAAGUCGAACGGUAACAGGUUAAGCUGACGAGUGGCGAACGGGUGAGUAAUGUAUCGGAACGUGCCCAGUCGUGGGGGAUAACGCAGCGAAAGCUGUGCUAAUACCGCAUACGAUCUAUGGAUGAAAGCGGGGGAUCGCAAGACCUCGCGCGAUUGGAGUGGCCGAUAUCAGAUUAGCUAGUUGGUGGGGUAAAGGCUCACCAAGGCAACGAUCUGUAGCUGGUCUGAGAGGACGACCAGCCACACUGGAACUGAGACACGGUCCAGACUCCUACGGGAGGCAGCAGUGGGGAAUUUUGGACAAUGGGCGCAAGCCUGAUCCAGCAAUGCCGCGUGCAGGAUGAAGGCCUUCGGGUUGUAAACUGCUUUUGUACGGAGCGAAACGAUCCUCUCUAAUACAGGGGGUUAAUGACGGUACCGUAAGAAUAAGCACCGGCUAACUACGUGCCAGCAGCCGCGGUAAUACGUAGGGUGCGAGCGUUAAUCGGAAUUACUGGGCGUAAAGCGUGCGCAGGCGGUCUUGUAAGACAGAUGUGAAAUCCCCGGGCUUAACCUGGGACCUGCAUUUGUGACUGCAAGGCUGGAGUACGGCAGAGGGGGAUGGAAUUCCGCGUGUAGCAGUGAAAUGCGUAGAUAUGCGGAGGAACACCGAUGGCGAAGGCAAUCCCCUGGGCCUGUACUGACGCUCAUGCACGAAAGCGUGGGGAGCAAACAGGAUUAGAUACCCUGGUAGUCCACGCCCUAAACGAUGUCAACUGGUUGUUGGGUCUUAACUGACUCAGUAACGAAGCUAACGCGUGAAGUUGACCGCCUGGGGAGUACGGCCGCAAGGUUGAAACUUAAAG
rnacentral:rRNA from 1 species